GCUCCGGUGGCCUAUUGAUUAGAGCGUCCGCCUCAGACGCGGGAGGUCGUGGAUUCGAUCCCCGGUUGAGUCA